UUAAGCGACUAAGCGUACACGGUGGAUGCCCUGGCAGUCAGAGGCGAUGAAGGACGUGCUAAUCUGCGAAAAGCGUCGGUAAGGUGAUAUGAACCGUUAUAACCGGCGAUGUCCGAAUGGGGAAACCCAGUGCAAUUCGUUGCACUAUCGUUAACUGAAUACAUAGGUUAACGAGGCGAACCGGGGGAACUGAAACAUCUAAGUACCCCGAGGAAAAGAAAUCAACCGAGAUUCCCCCAGUAGCGGCGAGCGAACGGGGAGCAGCCCAGAGUCUGAAUCAGCUUGUGUGUUAGUGGAACGGUCUGGAAAGUCCGACGGUACAGGGUGAUAGUCCCGUACACCAAAAUGCACAGGUUGUGAACUCGAAGAGUAGGGCGGGACACGUGGUAUCCUGUCUGAAUAUGGGGGGACCAUCCUCCAAGGCUAAAUACUCCUGACUGACCGAUAGUGAACCAGUACCGUGAGGGAAAGGCGAAAAGAACCCCGGCGAGGGGAGUGAAAAAGAACCUGAAACCGUGUACGUACAAGCAGUGGGAGCACCUUCGGGUGUGACUGCGUACCUUUUGUAUAAUGGGUCAGCGACUUAUAUUCUGUAGCAAGGUUAACCGUAUAGGGGAGCCGCAGGGAAACCGAGUCUUAACUGGGCGUUAAGUUGCAGGGUAUAGACCCGAAACCCGGUGAUCUAGCCAUGGGCAGGUUGAAGGUUGGGUAACACUAACUGGAGGACCGAACCGACUAAUGUUGAAAAAUUAGCGGAUGACUUGUGGCUGGGGGUGAAAGGCCAAUCAAACCGGGAGAUAGCUGGUUCUCCCCGAAAGCUAUUUAGGUAGCGCCUCGUGAAUUCAUCUUCGGGGGUAGAGCACUGUUUCGGCUAGGGGGUCAUCCCGACUUACCAACCCGAUGCAAACUACGAAUACCGAAGAAUGUUAUCACGGGAGACACACGGCGGGUGCUAACGUCCGUCGUGAAGAGGGAAACAACCCAGACCGCCAGCUAAGGUCCCAAAGUCAUGGUUAAGUGGGAAACGAUGUGGGAAGGCACAGACAGCCAGGAUGUUGGCUUAGAAGCAGCCAUCAUUUAAAGAAAGCGUAAUAGCUCACUGGUCGAGUCGGCCUGCGCGGAAGAUGUAACGGGGCUAAACCAUGCACCGAAGCUGCGGCAGCGACACUAUGUGUUGUUGGGUAGGGGAGCGUUCUGUAAGCCUGCGAAGGUGACCUGUGAGGGUUGCUGGAGGUAUCAGAAGUGCGAAUGCUGACAUAAGUAACGAUAAAGCGGGUGAAAAGCCCGCUCGCCGGAAGACCAAGGGUUCCUGUCCAACGUUAAUCGGGGCAGGGUGAGUCGACCCCUAAGGCGAGGCCGAAAGGCGUAGUCGAUGGGAAACAGGUUAAUAUUCCUGUACUUGGUGUUACUGCGAAGGGGGGACGGAGAAGGCUAUGUUAGCCGGGCGACGGUUGUCCCGGUUUAAGCAUGUAGGCUGGUUAUCCAGGCAAAUCCGGAUAAUCAAGGCUGAGGUGUGAUGACGAGGCACUACGGUGCUGAAGUAACAAAUGCCCUGCUUCCAGGAAAAGCCUCUAAGCAUCAGGUAACAUCAAAUCGUACCCCAAACCGACACAGGUGGUCAGGUAGAGAAUACCAAGGCGCUUGAGAGAACUCGGGUGAAGGAACUAGGCAAAAUGGUGCCGUAACUUCGGGAGAAGGCACGCUGGUGUGUAGGUGAAGUCCCUGCGGAUGGAGCUGAGACCAGUCGAAGAUACCAGCUGGCUGCAACUGUUUAUUAAAAACACAGCACUGUGCAAACACGAAAGUGGACGUAUACGGUGUGACGCCUGCCCGGUGCCGGAAGGUUAAUUGAUGGGGUUAUCCGUAAGGAGAAGCUCUUGAUCGAAGCCCCGGUAAACGGCGGCCGUAACUAUAACGGUCCUAAGGUAGCGAAAUUCCUUGUCGGGUAAGUUCCGACCUGCACGAAUGGCGUAAUGAUGGCCAGGCUGUCUCCACCCGAGACUCAGUGAAAUUGAACUCGCUGUGAAGAUGCAGUGUACCCGCGGCAAGACGGAAAGACCCCGUGAACCUUUACUAUAGCUUGACACUGAACAUUGAGCCUUGAUGUGUAGGAUAGGUGGGAGGCUUUGAAGCGUGGACGCCAGUCUGCGUGGAGCCAACCUUGAAAUACCACCCUUUAAUGUUUGAUGUUCUAACGUUGGCCCCUUACCGGGGUUGCGGACAGUGUCUGGUGGGUAGUUUGACUGGGGCGGUCUCCUCCCAAAGCGUAACGGAGGAGCACGAAGGUUAGCUAAUCCUGGUCGGACAUCAGGAGGUUAGUGCAAUGGCAUAAGCUAGCUUGACUGCGAGCGUGACGGCGCGAGCAGGUGCGAAAGCAGGUCAUAGUGAUCCGGUGGUUCUGAAUGGAAGGGCCAUCGCUCAACGGAUAAAAGGUACUCCGGGGAUAACAGGCUGAUACCGCCCAAGAGUUCAUAUCGACGGCGGUGUUUGGCACCUCGAUGUCGGCUCAUCACAUCCUGGGGCUGAAGUAGGUCCCAAGGGUAUGGCUGUUCGCCAUUUAAAGUGGUACGCGAGCUGGGUUUAGAACGUCGUGAGACAGUUCGGUCCCUAUCUGCCGUGGGCGCUGGAGAAUUGAGGGGGGCUGCUCCUAGUACGAGAGGACCGGAGUGGACGCAUCACUGGUGUUCGGGUUGUCAUGCCAAUGGCACUGCCCGGUAGCUAAAUGCGGAAGAGAUAAGUGCUGAAAGCAUCUAAGCACGAAACUUGCCCCGAGAUGAGUUCUCCCUGAGACUUUAAGUCUCCUGAAGGAACGUUGAAGACGACGACGUUGAUAGGCCGGGUGUGUAAGCGCAGCGAUGCGUUGAGCUAACCGGUACUAAUGAACCGUGAGGCUUAACCUU
rnacentral:rRNA from 1 species